rnacentral:rRNA from 1 species
GCCAGUGUUUUAUCAAGACGUGCCCUACCUCUUCCCAUUCCGAACAGAGAAGUAAAAGCGUCUAAACUUGAUGAUACUUGAGCCUUCGGGCUUCGGGAAAGUAGAGUAUGCCGGCA